UUUUCUGAGCCCGGCGGUAGUUUUGCAAGGCUUCCGCGCCGUGAACGGGAAAAAAACACUCAUGGCAAUUCACGUAUCUUCUCUGUGGUGUUUAUAAAUAGCAUUAACAGGAGUCCGAGGCGUUAGACAAGACGAGGAGUAGUCUGUCAUGGUUUCUGUAUAUCAGUCACAAUACCAAGACACUUUGCCAUAUCACAUCAGCUAUUUCUAAAGGUCAAAGAGGGGGUCAAUCGGGUUCUAACAAGUGUUUCUUUAGGUUCACGGUACAGAGGAAGGGUCACACUACCACCAGGGUCAUAAAACUACCCCUGGAAAUGCCCACAACUCCUACGAAAGCCUUGUCAAAUAUGUGUUUCUUUAGGUUCACAGUACAGAGGAAGGGUCACACUACCACCAGGGUCAUAAAACUACCCCUGGAAAUGCCCACAACUCCUACGAAAGCCUUGUCAAAUAUGUGUUUCUUUAGGUUCACAUUACAGAGGAAGGGUCACACUACCACCAGGGUCAUAAAACUACCCCUGGAAAUGCCCACAACUCCUACGAAAGCCUUGUCAAAUAUGUGUUUCUUUAGGUUCACGGUACAGAGGAAGGGUCAGACUACCACCAGGGUCAUAAAACUACUCCUGGAAAUGCCCACAACUCCUACGAAAGCCUUGUCAAAUAUGUGUUUCUUUAGGUUCACGGUACAGAGGAAGGGUCACACUACCACCAGGGUCAUAAAACUACCCCUGGAAAUGCCUACAACUCCUACGAAAGCCUUGUCAAAUAUGUGUUUCUUUAGGUUCACGGUACAGAGGAAGGGUCACACUACCACCAGGGUCAUAAAACUACCCCUGGAAAUGCCCACAACUCCUACGAAAGCCUUGUCAAAUGUGUGUUUCUUUAGGUUCAUGGUACAGAGGAAGGGUCACACUACCACCAGGGUCAUAAAACUACCCCUGGAAAUGCCCGCAACUCCCACGAAAGCCUUGUCAAAUAUGUGUUUCUUAGGUUCACGGUA